rnacentral:lncRNA from 1 species
CCUUUUAUUACAUAAGAUUUAAGAUUUAAUAGUUUAACGCCGGAAGUUCAUAGUUUUUGGCCACACAGAAGUUCAUAAUGCUGAAGCUUUCUCCUUUCGUGAAGUCCUUCCGUGACUUAAAGGACUUAAAUAUUGACAAGGAAAUCGUUGAAUUUAAAUGUCCAAAUAUUCUCACUGCUCUUAAUUCAGUACCUAACUUGACU